ACCCCCGUCAACCACGUCACCACCACCCCCAUGUGGCGUGGGAUGGCCGGGGGGGGGGCCGCCCCCCCUCCCGCCGCUCAGCCCAAGCGUCCUGGCAAGGGUCCCCGGACACGGCAGCCCUCCCACAUCCCCCCGCCGCCCCCCUCCUCCUCCUCGCCAAGCCGUGGCCGGCUGACUCUGCGCUGCACGGCGUUCGCCACGGCUGAGGAGUAUCACUUACUCCGGCUGGAGACGGCACUCAGUCGUCGCGCAGAUAUCACGCUCAGAAGCCUACCUCGAGAUGCCGCUAACGCUGUGGUGGUGAGCGUCAAGUCUGCCA